GGUAUUGAAAUAAGAUUUUAAAUGAGUGCUAAGAGAAUGAUUAAACAAUUAAAAGCUUUCUUUAAUUAAAAAAUUAAAUUUAAUUUUUUUAGUGCAAAAGCAAAAAUAAAAUUUAGGGACAAGAAGACCCUAUGAAUUUUUAUUGUUAAUAAUUAAAAUUUAAGUUAUUAAUAAUUUAAUUGGGGUGAUAAAAAAAGAAUAAGUAUCUUUUUAGUUAUAAAAUAAGUUCCGUUUUUAGCGAUUAAAUGAAAUAAAUACUCUAGGGAUAACAGCGUAAUAAUUUUGGAUAGUUCAUAUAGAUAAAAUAGUUUGCGACCUCGAUGUUGGAUUAGGAUUCUUUUUUGGUGAAGAA
rnacentral:rRNA from 1 species